CCUACGGGAGGCUGCAGUGGGGAAUAUUGGACAAUGGGCGAAAGCCUGAUCCAGCCAUGCCGCGUGUGUGAAGAAGGCCUUCGGGUUGUAAAGCACUUUCAGUGGGGAAGAAAGCCUUGGGGCUAAUACCCUCGAGGAAGGACAUCACCCACAGAAGAAGCACCGGCUAACUCCGUGCCAGCAGCCGCGGUAAUACGGAGGGUGCGAGCGUUAAUCGGAAUUACUGGGCGUAAAGCGCGCGUAGGCGGUUUGAUAAGCCGGUUGUGAAAGCCCCGGGCUCAACCUGGGAACGGCAUCCGGAACUGUCAGGCUAGAGUGCAGGAGAGGAAGGUAGAAUUCCCGGUGUAGCGGUGAAAUGCGUAGAGAUCGGGAGGAAUACCAGUGGCGAAGGCGGCCUUCUGGACUGACACUGACGCUGAGGUGCGAAAGCGUGGGUAGCAAACAGGAUUAGAUACCCCUGUAGUC
rnacentral:rRNA from 1 species